rnacentral:lncRNA from 1 species
GCGGCUCUGCCCCUGGCCUGGAACAAGAGCCCCGGACGUGGGUGCAGAGCCCCUCACAUGAGGACUGCCCCAUCCUGCCUCUGCUGAACGGCAGGUAUAGGAAGGCUGGACCCCCUCAGCGGCCCCCCGGAUGUGGGUGCAGAGCCCCUCACAUGAGGACCGCCCCAGCCUGCCUCUGCUGAAGGGCAGGUAUAGGAAGGCUGGACCCCCUCAGCGGCCCCCCGGAUGGCACCCUGGCCCCUCUACCUGCUGGCAGUCCAGGAACCUGGAGGUGGUGGCCCAGAGAAAGGCGGGAACUUCUCCCAGGGCCCCGUCCAUUGUAUUUUCACCUGUCCGGCCGCCCAUUCUUUUUUUGAGACGGACUCACUCUGUCACCCAGGCUGGAGCGCCAUGUGCCAUCCCAGCUCGCUGCAGCCUCAACCUCCCGGGCUCAAGUGAUGCUCCUGCCUCUGCCUCCGGAGUAGCAGGGACCACAAGCACACACCACCACACCCUAAUUAUCUUUUAAGUGGAGACAGGUCUCGCUAUGUGUGUUGCUCAGGCUGGUGGUCCGUCGUCUUUUUGACCCAGGCCUGUGUGGCUCACAAAGCAGGCAAUUGCAGGGUCAUCCCAUCAAAUCUGAGCAUGGCACCAGAGCACACAAGUCGGCUACCUGCGGGCCUUGGCACCCUCGUGCUCCACGCCAAGGUCCCUGUGUGCUCAAGUCUGGGCUCCAUGAUGGCACUGGGGUUUGUUCUGUUUGCUGCUUUGUCCGAGUGAGGCUUUCUCUGGGUGCCUGAACAGAUGCCUCCAGUUUCAGUUCUUUUCUGUUUGGCCCUCCCCAUCCUCUUCUCCUCCAGGGGGGAUUCAUGGCUCGCCUCUUGGCUCUUCUGGGCACUUGGCGACCUUCUGCGCACUUGCGUUAGCUGCUCAGGUCUGCCUGGAUGUGAGAGUCGUGUCCUCAGGCCAGGGAGCACUGGCACGGAGCAGGGCUCGGUCAAUGGUCUGGAUAAUCCAGAGUCACUUACCUUCUGCUGUGCAGUCAUUUACAAUUCACGCCUGUGGGCUUGAUGUCUUGUGACUCAGAAUCUUCAAGACAAUCACAGGCUGGCCUCACGGACGCCUCCUGAGGCCCUCUUCUGGGUGAAUGGGCUUCCUCCUUCACCAUGACAGGCUACUGGGGAGAGCUGGGGUGCUCCCACCCUCUCCUCACCCCAAAUGGGCCUGGCCUAGCAAAACUGGCCAGAACUGGCCACUCUGCA